rnacentral:tRNA from 1 species
GAGGGUAUAGCUCAGUGGUAGCGUGUGUGCUUGGCAUGCACGAGGUCCCAGGUUCAAUCCCCAGUGCCUCCA